rnacentral:piRNA from 1 species
UGCUUUGUACCCUGGACCAGCACUGC